rnacentral:rRNA from 1 species
UACGGGGGGGGUAAGCGUUGUUCGGAAUUACUGGGCGUAAAGCGUGCGUAGGUCGGUUUGUUAAGUCUGUUGUGAAAGCCCCGGGCUCAACCUGGGAAUGGCAAUGGAUACUGGCAAGCUAGAGUGCGGUAGAGGGUAGUGGAAUUCCCGGUGUAGCGGUGAAAUGCGUAGAGAUCGGGAGGAACACCAGUGGCGAAGGCGGCUACCUGGACCAGCACUGACCACUGAGGCACGAAAGCGUGGGGAGCAAACAGG